UAAAGUAAGGCCAACCAGACGAGAUAAA
rnacentral:sRNA from 1 species